rnacentral:rRNA from 1 species
UGGGGAAUUUUGGACAAUGGGGGCAACCCUGAUCCAGCAAUGCCGCGUGAGUGAAGAAGGCCUUAGGGUUGUAAAGCUCUUUUACCAGGGAUGAUAAUGACAGUACCUGGAGAAUAAGCUCCGGCUAACUCCGUGCCAGCAGCCGCGGUAAUACGGAGGGAGCUAGCGUUGUUCGGAAUUACUGGGCGUAAAGCGUACGUAGGCGGUGACUCAAGUCAGAGGUGAAAGCCUGGAGCUCAACUCCAGAACUGCCUUUGAAACUAGGUCGCUAGAAUCACGGAGAGGUGAGUGGAAUUCCGAGUGUAGAGGUGAAAUUCGUAGAUAUUCGGAAGAACACCAGUGGCGAAGGCGGCUCACUGGACGUGUAUUGACGCUGAGGUACGAAAGCGUGGGGAGCAAACAGGAUUAGAUACCCCAGUAGUCCCUGAGCGGGCUGGCAAGGCGCAU